rnacentral:rRNA from 1 species
UAGGGUGCGAGCGUUAAUCGGAAUUACUGGGCGUAAAGCGUGCGCAGGCGGUUUUGUAAGCCAGAUGUGAAAUCCCCGGGCUCAACCUGGGAAUGGCAUUUGGGACUGCAAGGCUGGAGUUUGGCAGAGGAGACUGGAUUUCCCGGUGUAGCAGUGAAAUGCGUAGAUAUCGGGAGGAAUACCGAUGGCGAAGGCAGGUCUCUGGGCUAUAACUGACGCUCAUGCACGAAAGCGUGGGGAGCAAACAGGAUUAGAUACCCUGGUAGUCCACGCCCUAAACGAUGUCGACUGGUUGUUGGGGGUUUGACACUCUCAGUAACGAAGCUAACGCGUGAAGUCGACCGCCUGGGGAGUACGGCCGCAAGGUUA